GUUGGGCGUUGGGGCGGGCGCCUGUAAUCAUAGCUACUUGGGAAGCUGAGGCAUGAGAAUUGCUUAAGCCCAGGAGUUGGAGGUUGCUGUGAGCUGUGAUGCCACAGCACUCUACCCAGGGAGACAGCUUGAGACUGUCUCAAAAAAAAAAAGAAAGAAAUCUUUCAUAUUGGCAUGCCCAUAUCCAGUUCAUUCUUUUUUUUUUGACAGAGUCUCACUUUGUCACCCUUGGUAGAGUGCUGUGGCAUCACAGCUCACAGCAACCUCAAACUCAUGGGCUUAAGCAAUUUUCUUGCCUCAG
rnacentral:SRP_RNA from 1 species